ACUGCGUGCACUCAGUCUUCAGGAGGAGGCAUCCCCUGUGGUUGCAGAACUUCCGCUAUCCUUGGUUGCCCAGGAUAAACUGGUGGAAUCAUGACUCAUUUUUGUCAUUGGGACCACAGGAGGAGGGGUCAGAAGAUAGUGAAAUGUUCAGUGAGCACUCACAUUUCGUUAGAUGCACUGUCUCUGAACCCGAGAACUUACUCAGAACUUCAGGAUGGGAGCGUGCAGUCACCAAGUGUUAAGUCGAAGAUUCCGGACUGUUUAGAGGUUCCCAAAGGGUUUGUCUAAACUCCACAGUGAUACCACAGGAUGUGAAUACCAAGGAUCCAAACAUUCUGAUAAACUCAGAGAAAGUCUUGGGCUGUGCCUUGGGAAAUCAUUGGCUCUGUGAAAUUGUCCAAGGCUAGCUUGAUAAACCUCUGGAAGCACAGAAGAACAGUUUGGAGAGGAGUCUAUGCAUCUCUAUCUACAGCUAAAGCACCAUAGGCUACCUCUCAGAAAUGUAAGUUUUAGUGAUUUCAUCCUGUCAAAAAUUGCGUAUUUCAAAACAUUAGAAAGUUGACUUGCACAAAUAUAAAAUAAGCAUGGAUCAGGAUGCUUCACCUUGUGCUCCAUAAGUUACUCAUCUGAUAUUACAUUGGAAGCAGAAGAAAUUCCCAGCAAAGUGACCUAUGUUGCAAGACUCAAA
rnacentral:lncRNA from 1 species